UGUCUAAGAAAAGCGUAAUUAGACCCGGAGAGGUAAGAUAACUUAACGAAAAUUGAACUGAGUUUGAGAAGAGUCAGCAGAGUUGCUAGUGACAGCGCUACUGAGUGCUGUUACCCUUUGGAGGAGGUUUUCACCGUGAAAAGCUGCGUUGGGUGUGGUCUCCAAUUAACGUGGAUAUCCUGCAGGUCUGGGAAAAUAGCUGCACAUACUAUUUGGAAACCCAAGCAGACGUGAAGUUUUUGGCUGCUGUCUGAUGAGGAUGAGCUCCUAAAUGACAGGAUCCACAUCCUGCUCGAUUUGUGCCCCAACCAGGACUCCACAAAGACAGCACGCAGGUGCAAGGUGAGACUCAUCAAAAAGGUUGAGCCCCCUAGUCCUCGGAUUGGUCAGCUGCACCCACCGGGGAUGUACAUAUAUGUAGGGCAGAGAUGUUUUCUGAUGUCUGAUGAAGGUCAC